rnacentral:rRNA from 1 species
UACGUAGGUGGCUAGCGUUGUCCGGAUUUACUGGGCGUAAAGAGCGCGCAGGCGGUCGAUCAAGUCGAGUGUGAAAGCCCCCGGCUCAACUGGGGAGGGUCAUUCGAAACUGGUCGACUCGAAGGCAGGAGAGGGUAGUGGAAUUCCCGGUGUAGUGGUGAAAUGCGUAGAUAUCGGGAGGAACACCAGUGGCGAAGGCGACUACCUGGCCUGUUCUUGACGCUGAGGCGCGAAAGCUAGGGGAGCAAACGGG